GUGCUUGCUUUGGCUGCACAUACACUAAAAUUGGAACAAUACAGAGAAAAUUAGCAUGGCCCCUGCACAAAGAUGACGAAAGUCUGGACUUGGAAAGCUGGUUA